UGACCAUAUUUCAUAUUUUUUGCAGAGAUUUGAUCCUCCGGUUGCUGAUACUUCAUCUACUCGUAGAGAUAAUGAUGCCGUCGACCCUUGAUACAUCGUAGAUUGUUUACUUAGAAAUUUAAGAUGUAUGUUUUUAGUAUGUUUUUGAAGUACAAUAUAAUCAAAUAUGAUAAUAUGAAUAUUUUGAAUGAAAAGUUCUUGUUUGUGA